rnacentral:rRNA from 1 species
AUUGAACGCUGGCGGAAUGCUUUACACAUGCAAGUCGAACGGCAGCACGGGGGCAACCCUGGUGGCGAGUGGCGAACGGGUGAGUAAUGUAUCGGAACGUGCCCAGGCGUGGGGGAUAACGCAGUGAAAAUUACGCUAAUACCGCAUACGAUCUACGGAUGAAAGCGGGGGAUCGCAAGACCUCGCGCGAUUGGAGCGGCCGAUAUCAGAUUAGGUAGUUGGUGGGGUAAAGGCUCACCAAGCCAACGAUCUGUAGCUGGUCUGAGAGGACGCCCAGCCACACUGUAACUGAGACACGGUCCAGAAUCCUAGGGGAGGCAGCCGUGGGGAAUGUUGGACUAUGGGGGAAAGCCUGAACCAGCAAUGCCGCAUGCAGGAAGAAGGCCGUCGGGUUGUAAAGUGCGUUUGUACGGAACGAAACGGUCUGGGUUAAUACCCUGGGCUAAUGACGGUACCGUAAGAAUAAGGACCGGCGAACUACUUGCCAGCAGCCGCGGUAACGC